UUAAAGGCUGUUGUGAUUUAAAAACAAAAUACAGCAUAGCAAGCUCCUUGGCUCAAAACAGGCAUUGAAUAAAGACUGGCAUCCUCCCUUCCUGAAAUAAGAGGGCAGAUAAUCAGCAAGUGCUUCAAACUGGCACCAGGGAUCACCUGAAACAGAAUCAGAAGAAGGUAUCCUGUGCCCUCUGGUCCACUCCCAGGGUCUCCUCUCUGCCAAAUUACAACUUAUACCCUCCUUCAAUCGGCUCCAGGACAGUUCUAUUCUUGGAGUAUACCACUUGGAGCUCUUCAAAGAAAAGCAUCCAAUUAAACUAAUUCACCCAAGAGGUACAUGCAAGCUUCACACUGCCAAUCCUCUUUUUGAUAUUUUCAUUUGAAAGACGAAGCUCUAAAUACUGCAGAGUUGUCAUCUUUGGGGGCAGGGAAAAUUACUGAAGUGUCAUCUCUACAUUAAGUAUACAGAAUGCACUGCUAGGUAAGUGGAUAAAUCAAGUUUCAUUUUUACUACAUCGAGUUUUCAUAAUUUACAGAACAGUCUUGCUGAUCAAGGUUACCGUCCAUGUCUGGUCUGUGUUUCCAGCUUACCAGAGACUCAGCCUUUCAAAGUGAUUUACCAGUGAGCUAAUCUCAAAAUUAUCAUCAGUUUCUCUUUAACUCUGCCUUCCAGGAGCUUAACUGGAAUGUGGUCCUUACAGCCAAACAGAAAUGAUUGGUAUUUAAAGAAGAAUUAUAUUAAAAUAAAUUUAUUUUUCUGCUAGCA